rnacentral:lncRNA from 1 species
AGGAGGAAAGAAGGAAGACGACUAUUGCCAUUCAGAAAAGCAUUGCCCAGUUAAUGCCUCUGGUCAUCAGUAUUAUUUGAUGAUAUCUCCCCAAGGGAGCUCAUUUCAAAUUCAUCAGAUGAUCUGCAUUAAGUCAGAGAUGAAAGCUUUGUACACCCCAGUAAUCUAGACUCUGGGAAGGAACUGCACAUUAAUCCUUCUUUCAGCAAACGAGCUGCAGCCCGCACAAUUCUGAAUUCUGGACUUAGCACGAACAAGGCUGACUUGGUUGAUAACCUUGGUUCUGUUGACAAGUUUGGGACCAAAGUCAAACUUUGCAGGCUGGUGAUGAAACCUCUUCCAUGAGCCAUUAUUUUCCCGCUUUACAUAUUUGGUUGCUGAGAAAGUUACUGUGGUCCCCAAUCAUAACGAUGAUGAGCACUAUGGCUGGGAAUCCUCAGCAAGGGGAUCCUCCACAGUGAUGAUAACACAGGGGAACCAACGGGCGAUGGAACAAAGGAUAACCUAU